AGGAUGAACGCUGGCGGCGUGCCUAACACAUGCAAGUCGAACGUCCUGUCUCGCAAGAGGCAGGGAGUGGCGGACGGGUGAGUACCACGUGGGUCAUCUACCGUGAGGUGAGGAAUACCGGCGAGAAAUCGCCGACAAGACCGCAUAGGCUCGAUGCAAGUCGAGCAAAGCUCUUUCGAGAGAGGGAGCGCCACACGAGGAGCCUGCGCCCGAUUAGCUAGCUGGUGGAGUAACGGUUCACCAGGGCGACGAUCGGUAGCUGGUCUGAGAGGACGAUCAGCCACACUGGGAUUGAGAACGGCCCAGACUCCUACGGGGGCAGCAGUGAGGAAUUUUCGUCAAUGGGGGCAACCCUGAACGAGCAACGCCGCGUGCAGGAAGAGGUUUCGGAUCGUAAACUGCUUUUCUCGGGAAGAGAAUGGACGGUACCCGAGGAAUCAGCCCGGCUAACUACGCGCCAGCAGCCGCGGU
rnacentral:rRNA from 1 species